AAAUUGAAGAGUUUGAUCAUGGCUCAGAUUGAACGCUGGCGGCAGGCCUAACACAUGCAAGUCGAACGGUAACAGGAAGCAGCUUGCUGCUUUGCUGACGAGUGGCGGACGGGUGAGUAAUGUCUGGGAAACUGCCUGAUGGAGGGGGAUAACUACUGGAAACGGUGGCUAAUACCGCAUAACGUCGCAAGACCAAAGAGGGGGACCUUCGGGCCUCUUGCCAUCAGAUGUGCCCAGAUGGGAUUAGCUAGUUGGUGAGGUAACGGCUCACCAAGGCGACGAUCCCUAGCUGGUCUGAGAGGAUGACCAGCCACACUGGAACUGAGACACGGUCCAGACUCCUACGGGAGGCAGCAGUGGGGAAUAUUGCACAAUGGGCGCAAGCCUGAUGCAGCCAUGCCGCGUGUAUGAAGAAGGCCUUCGGGUUGUAAAGUACUUUCAGCGGGGAGGAAGGUGUUGUGGUUAAUAACCGCAGCAAUUGACGUUACCCGCAGAAGAAGCACCGGCUAACUCCGUGCCAGCAGCCGCGGUAAUACGGAGGGUGCAAGCGUUAAUCGGAAUUACUGGGCGUAAAGCGCACGCAGGCGGUCUGUCAAGUCGGAUGUGAAAUCCCCGGGCUCAACCUGGGAACUGCAUUCGAAACUGGCAGGCUUGAGUCUUGUAGAGGGGGGUAGAAUUCCAGGUGUAGCGGUGAAAUGCGUAGAGAUCUGGAGGAAUACCGGUGGCGAAGGCGGCCCCCUGGACAAAGACUGACGCUCAGGUGCGAAAGCGUGGGGAGCAAACAGGAUUAGAUACCCUGGUAGUCCACGCCGUAAACGAUGUCUACUUGGAGGUUGUGCCCUUGAGGCGUGGCUUCCGGAGCUAACGCGUUAAGUAGACCGCCUGGGGAGUACGGCCGCAAGGUUAAAACUCAAAUGAAUUGACGGGGGCCCGCACAAGCGGUGGAGCAUGUGGUUUAAUUCGAUGCAACGCGAAGAACCUUACCUGGUCUUGACAUCCACAGAAGAAUCCAGAGAUGGAUUUGUGCCUUCGGGAACUGUGAGACAGGUGCUGCAUGGCUGUCGUCAGCUCGUGUUGUGAAAUGUUGGGUUAAGUCCCGCAACGAGCGCAACCCUUAUCCUUUGUUGCCAGCGAUUAGGUCGGGAACUCAAAGGAGACUGCCAGUGAUAAACUGGAGGAAGGUGGGGAUGACGUCAAGUCAUCAUGGCCCUUACGACCAGGGCUACACACGUGCUACAAUGGCGCAUACAAAGAGAAGCGACCUCGCGAGAGCAAGCGGACCUCAUAAAGUGCGUCGUAGUCCGGAUUGGAGUCUGCAACUCGACUCCAUGAAGUCGGAAUCGCUAGUAAUCGUGGAUCAGAAUGCCACGGUGAAUACGUUCCCGGGCCUUGUACACACCGCCCGUCACACCAUGGGAGUGGGUUGCAAAAGAAGUAGGUAGCUUAACCUUCGGGAGGGCGCUUACCACUUUGUGAUUCAUGACUGGGGUGAAGUCGUAACAAGGUAACCGUAGGGGAACCUGCGGUUGGAUCACCUCCUUACCU
rnacentral:rRNA from 1 species